rnacentral:rRNA from 1 species
GUUGUAUGGUUAAGUGACUAAGCGUACAUGGUGGAUGCCUUGGCAGUCAGAGGCGAUGAAGGACGUACUAACCUGCGAUAAGCCGUGAGCAGUCGGUAAGAGACAUUACGACUCACGGAUUUCCGAAUGGGGAAACCCACUUAGCAUAAGCUAGGUAUCGCUACGUGAAUACAUAGCGUAGCGAGGCGAACCGGGAGAACUGAAACAUCUAAGUACCCCGAGGAAAAGAAAUCAACCGAGAUUCCCUCAGUAGCGGCGAGCGAACGGGGAUUAGCCCUUAAGCAUCUUGGAAGUUAGUGGAACGGUCCUGGAAAG